rnacentral:rRNA from 1 species
ACUGUAGCAAUACAGUCGAUGGCGACCGGCAAACGGGUGCGGAACACGUACACAACCUUCCUUUUAGUGGAGAAUAGCCCAGGGAAACUUGGAUUAAUACUCCGUAACAUAUAGAAGUGGCAUCACUUUUAUAUUAUAGCAGCAAUGCGCUAGAAGAUGGGUGUGCGGCUGAUUAGAUAGUUGGCGGGGUAACGGCCCACCAAGUCGACGAUCAGUAACUGGUGUGAGAGCACGACCAGUCACACGGGCACUGAGACACGGGCCCGACUCCUACGGGAGGCAGCAGUAAGGAAUAUUGGUCAAUGGACGCAAGUCUGAACCAGCCAUGCCGCGUGGAGGAUGAAGGUCCUCUGGAUUGUAAACUUCUUUUAUUUGGGAAGAAACCCAUCUUUUCUAAGAUGGUUGACGGUACCAGAUGAAUAAGCACCGGCCAACUCCGUGCCAGCAGCCGCGGUAAUACGGAGGGUGCAAGCGUUAUCCGGAUUCACUGGGUUUAAAGGGUGCGUAGGUGGGCAAGUAAGUCAGUGGUGAAAUCUCCGGGCUUAACCCGGAAACUGCCAUUGAUACUAUUUGUCUUGAAUACUGUGGAGGUCAGCGGAAUAUGUCAUGUAGCGGUGAAAUGCUUAGAUAUGACAUAGAACACCAAUUGCGAAGGCAGCUGGCUACACAAAUAUUGACACUGAGGCACGAAAGCGUGGGGAUCAAACAGGAUUAGAUACCCUGGUAGUCCACGCCCUAAACUAUGGAUACUCGACAUUUGCGAUAAACUGCAAGUGUCUGAGCGAAAGCAUUAAGUAU